CCCUUAGAUGUUCUGGGCCGCACGCGCGCUACACUGAUGAACGCAACGAGCUCUACCCUUGACCGAAAGGCCCGGGUAAACUUGUGAAACUUCAUCGUGAUGGGGAUAGAUUAUUGCAAUUAUUAAUCUUCAACGAGGAAUUCCUAGUAAGCGCGAGUCAUCAGCUCGCGUUGAUUACGUCCCUGCCCUUUGUACACACCGCCCGUCGCUCCUACCGAUUGAAUGGUCCGGUGAAAUCUUCGGAUUGCUGACCAAGAUCCAGCAAUGGAGCUUGGUUGCGAGAAGUUGAUUAAACCUUAUUAUUUAGAGGAAGGAGAAGUCGUAACA
rnacentral:rRNA from 1 species